rnacentral:rRNA from 1 species
GAUGAACGCUGGCGGCGUGCCUAACACAUGCAAGUCGAGCGAUUUACUUCGGUAAAGAGCGGCGGACGGGUGAGUAACGCGUGGGUAACCUGCCCUGUACACACGGAUAACAUACCGAAAGGUAUGCUAAUACGAGAUAAUAUACUUUUAUCGCAUGGUAGACGUAUCAAAGCUCCGGCGGUACAGGAUGGACCCGCGUCUGAUUAGCUAGUUGGUAAGGUAACGGCUUACCAAGGCGACGAUCAGUAGCCGACCUGAGAGGGUGAUCGGCCACAUUGGAACUGAGACACGGUCCAAACUCCUACGGGAGGCAGCAGUGGGGAAUAUUGCACAAUGGGCGAAAGCCUGAUGCAGCAACGCCGCGUGAGCGAUGAAGGCCUUCGGGUCGUAAAGCUCUGUCCUCAAGGAAGAUAAUGACGGUACUUGAGGAGGAAGCCCCGGCUAACUACGUGCCAGCCGCCGCGGUAAUAC